rfam:Amborella trichopoda AMTR_V1.0_contig_26042, whole genome shotgun sequence.
CUCAUGGAGAGUUUGAUCCUAAAUCAGGAUGAAUGCUGGCAGCAUGCUCAAUACAUGCAAGUCAGACGAGAAGUGGUGUUUUCAAUGGCAAACGGGUGAGUAAUGCGUAAGAACCUGCCCUUGGGAUAUAUCAGGGUUGCUCACACUACAGAGUAUUUUACAAAUUUUUUAUAUG